UACAAAAUCCAGAGGCUGGUAUAGGCAUU
rnacentral:piRNA from 1 species